rnacentral:rRNA from 1 species
UACGGAGGGUGCAAGCGUUAUCCGGAUUCACUGGGUUUAAAGGGAGCGUAGGUGGGUUGGUAAGUCAGUGGUGAAAUCUCCGAGCUUAACUUGGGAACUGCCAUUGAUACUAUCAGUCUUGAAUACUGUGGAGGUUAGCGGAAUAUGUCAUGUAGCGGUGAAAUGCUUAGAUAUGACAUAGAACACCAAUUGCGAAGGCAGCUGGCUACACAAAUAUUGACACUGAGGCUCGAAAGCGUGGGGAUCAAACAGG